GGGAUGGGGUGACUAGUGACAGAGUGAGGAAGGGGGUGACUAGGGACAGAGGGGGUGACUAGUGACAGAGUGAGGGGGUGACUAGUGACAGUCACCCCUUCCCUCUCUCUGUCACUAGUCACUCCCUCCCUCUGUCACUAGUCACUCCCUCCCUCUGUCACUAGUCACUCCCUCCCUCUGUCACCAGUCACUCCCUCCCUCUGUCACCAGUCACCUCUUCCCUCCCUCACUUUGCCACUAGUCAUCUCUUCCCUCCC